rnacentral:rRNA from 1 species
UACGAAGGGGGCUAGCGUUGCUCGGAAUUACUGGGCGUAAAGGGUUCGUAGGUGGCUACCUAAGUCAGACGUGAAAUCCCUCAGCUUAACUGGGGAACUGCGUCUGAUACUGGGUGGCUUGAGUGCAGAAGGGGCAACCGGAAUUCUCGGUGUAGCGGUGAAAUGCGUAGAUAUCGAGAGGAACACCUGCGGCGAAGGCGGGUUGCUGGGCUGACACUGACGCUGAAGUGCGAAAGCUAGGGGAGCGAACGGG